CCUCACCUGACUACCUCUCCUCCUGUGAUGCCCAUUCUCAUUCCUCCCCUAACACCCUGUGCAUGCUGUGUUUAGCAUGGCAUUUUCUGAUGGUCCAUUUGUGUGUCUCUCCCCACCAGGCUGUGAGCACCUUUGAGGUGGAGACUACAGCUUCUUUAUUUUAUAUCUCCAGCACCUACACACAGUAGGUGUUUGGCAGGAGGAUGACAGCAUCAAUUUGUAUUUUAAAAAAAACCAUUCUGAUGAUCCGGGUGGAGACAGGCUGGAAAAGAAGGCAACUAGAGGCAGGAAGCAAAGCUCAGGAGGUGACCACACCAUCCGGGAACCAGAUUUGGGGCAACGCUGUCAUCUCCUGGUACAAGCACUUAGAAAAUGCACUUGAGCCUCCGUGCUGAGUUUAGACACAUUCAUCUGACUUCACAGUGAGCCCAGGGACUGCUGGGGUCCCUGGCACCCAGUCAGAGUUCGGGGAGCGUCAACUGUCCUGAGCAUUACGAGCAUCCACCAACACCUUCGGAUAACUCCCAAGCUACAUCUUAUCUGGGAAAGACUUUCCGGCAGUGACCAGGCUGUUCUGGCUUCUCCCAGAAGUUACGGUUGAAUCUGGACCACGAGAGACAAAAAGCUGCGUCAACCCUUACAGCAGGAGCGGGGCAGCCUGUUCUGUUACAACAAAGGGUUGGUUGUGAUAACACCGCGUGGGCUGGAGGCCACCAAAGAGAAUCACAGGCACGUAAUAUACAGAAACUUAGAGGCUGAGUAUGUGGCGAGCUAGCAAAAAGCCUUCAUCAAAGGACCAACGUCUUAGUCCUCUGCACCUCACACCACUGAGGCAUAAAAAUGCCAGCCCUGGCGGUCCACAGGUAUGUAUCCACAGAGGGCCAAAGAACUCUCUGGACAGAGGGCAUCUUAGGAUGGCCUUGCUCCGAGAUAUUUACAUCUUUAUUCAUUCAGCCAGUAUCCUGGAGCCCUCUCUAAAUGUUGAAAACUGGAAAGGAUCGAAGAGAGAAAUGAGCCACAGUCCCCACCCUUGGGAGCUAAUACAAUAUAAACAACCAUUUACCCGCUUCUGGGAGACAGCAACGUAAAUAACCAUUUACAGCGCUUCUGGGAGCAGAGAGAAGCCAGGAAAGGCUUCACAGGGCAACAGCCUAAGCAGAUCUCAGAUAAGACAGAAGCACACCCACAGAGGAUGGGAGAGGGAAUGUGGUCAGGCUCCUGCACCUGGGCACCGAGUAAGGGCUGAAAAGAGCCAUAAACUGGGAACUAGGGGGCCACGGGGAGCCAUCGAUGGAUUCUCCACAGUGGAGUGGCAUCGGAUUUGAGGCUCAGAAUGAAAAUUCUAACAGCAUAGUACAGGCUAGAGGUAGGACAACAUCUGGAGGGCCUCCACAGUGAUUCAGGGAAUGACUAAGAACAGACAUGAAGCCCUACCAGUCUGAUCCUGGCCAAUGCCACGCUGCUAUUUUAACAGAAAUGGUACGCCUGAAUCACUGACUGUAAACCAUCAACUUGAAAACCACUUUAAAAAGUUCAAGAAAGGGGGCGCCUGGGUGGCUCAGCUGCUUAAGCAUCUGCCUUCGGCUCAGGUCAUGAUCUCAAGGGUCCUGGGAUCAUGCCAAGCAGGGAGACAGCUUCUCCUGCUGCUGCUCCCCCUGCUUGUGCUCUCUCCCUCAAAUACAUUUUUUAAAUAUUUCAAAAAUAAAUAAAUAAAUAUGUCAAGAAAAACCUAUAAAACGUGGAGGUCUCUCUGACCAAGAAAUAAAUCAGACAUAGAAACUAGAAUUCGGGAUCCCUGGGUGGCGCAG